CAGAAACACUGGUUCCUAUAUGAUCACUGAAGUUAAGCAUCAUUGAGCCUGGUCAGUAUCUAGAUGGGUGCACAGUUUGAGAAUACCAGGUGCUGUAA